UAUGGCGACGCGUUUAUCUGAAAUCGAGUUUUCGACGACAAUUUCGGCUGUGUCGGCGGCUAAGCAGACCGUUCGGCCAAUAUGAAGACGUCUGACGUCGGCCAGAAAUUCUUUCCGCGAGUCGUGCUCUCCGCAACGCGUAUUAAUUAGAGCAGGUAACCGAAAAAUGGCCAGAGCGAGAGACUCUCCGAAGUCUCCGACACCGACGGACUGCUCGUAACGAGCUCGGGAAAUUUCUUCCCUUCCUUGGGACAAGAUCAAUCUGGGACGCAACCUUAUUUUUGACGCAGUUUGCAGUGAGCUGCUUUUGAUUUGCAUAGGAGUUCUCCAGUGCAGCGCUUGGAAAUGGACCGACGGACACAACCUUGAAAAAUCAGCCUGAUGUUGAAAUCUGCGACACCACCUCAGCCUCCUUGACCAGCUGAUGUGCAAAGAGAGGAGAACACCAUCAGCUGUCAAUGUGCACAUCAAGAUUAGAACUAUAAUUUGGGGGCUUUUGUUUCUGUAGGAUCAUGCGUAGCACACAGGGUUAUUGUGUACAAAUCGUAAUUGUAAAUAAUUUUAUUGCAUACGAGCCUUGAUGUAAUAUUGUUUUUUUGUAUGAGUUUCUUUUCUAGUUGGAGUUCAUGCAUCUCCAAGAGAAUCUUGUGUAUUUUGAAUUUACUUGUUAUUUAUAAAAAUGAUA